rnacentral:lncRNA from 1 species
AGCAGCUCCAAAACUCUGGGCAUUUUCCUUGUCUUUAUCCACCUCUUUGACAAGUAUUGCUGGGAGCAGCACAGCACAGCACAGAGGAAUUAUUGCAUGCAGGCUCAGGGCUUUGGGCACUGAGCAGUCCUGUGCCAAGAGGCAGCAAGGUGCCUGCAGGCCCCAGCUCAGGGGGAAACAGAGAGCGAGAAUGUCCUGGCCGUAUCCACCCUGCUGCCAGCUCAGCAGUGCAGCAUAGCAAUGGCUCACGCUCCCCAUUGCUCCCAAGAUGCAGCUGGCACCUCAACACGUGCUGACAAAAUCUGGAAAAGCAUGAGAAGAGAUUUCUGCCGGGGAACAUCUUGUUUGAUGAAGUUGAUGGUCAUUGUGGCUGGUGCAGCACUUGGCCUGAUGAUGUGCUCUGUCGGAAUCUGGUAUUGCUGUAAGAGAAAAUGGUGCUGCUGUGCAUCUCCAGGAGACGAGCCUAACAACUCCGGCAGAGAGAACUUGACCCGUGUUUCCAGCUCUUCACGUCUGUCCCCAUCUGCCCUUCCACAGCUUCCUCACCAUCUUGAGCCAUUCCCAAAACAAACCCCUCCACAACGAGACCCUCUGCCCCUGAGCCCCCUGGUCCUGUUCCCCUCCCAUGACUGAAGGUGGGCAGGCCCCACCUGCCAGGGCAGGGCUUGGCCCACAUUUUAUGUUCAAAUAAAGUAAUAAGAGUUGUCAGAGAUAUGUCCAGGUGUUUCCAACAGCAAAGCCCAGCCGGCACCAGCACUGGCUGAGUUCCAUGGCCAGGAGCAGCCAUGGAUGCCCACGGUGAGGGCAGGCAGGAGCCAGGCAGGGGCUGCUGUGACCAGCAGCGGGGCCCUGAGGGGCUGGGGGAGCCCAUGCUGAGCAUCCCUGGGCUGAGGGCACAUCUCCUUCAGUGGGAUCAUCUGGGCCUGGACAUCCUCCAGUAGCAUGCCCAGGAAAAGAGAGAAGCCAUCAAGAACAUCUGCAAAGACACAGCCUGAGCAGCAAUGCCAGCAGGCAAAACAAAGCUCCUCCCCAAUUAACACACAGUUGGUAGGACCUAAUUGAUGGGCCAUCACCAAUCCAGGGUGCUGCACAGGGUCUGCUCCUCUGGGCGAGGGUGGGAAGGGAAGGGAAGGGAAGGGAAGGGAAGGGAAGGGAAGGGAAGGGAAGGGAAGGGAAG